AUUCUAAUAGCUUAUAAAGAGCAUAAUAUUGAAGAUAUUAAGGAAAUAUUUAAUUUUAGAAUA
rnacentral:tRNA from 1 species